AUUGAACGCUGGCGGCAUGCUUUACACAUGCAAGUCGAACGGUAACAGGCCUUCGGGUGCUGACGAGUGGCGAACGGGUGAGUAAUGCAUCGGAACGUACCCAGAGGUGGGGGAUAACGCAGCGAAAGCUGUGCUAAUACCGCAUGUGAUCUGAGGAUGAAAGCGGGGGACCGAGCAGCAAUGUUUGGCCUCGCGCCUUUGGAGCGGCCGAUGUCGGAUUAGCUAGUUGGGGGGGUAAAGGCCUACCAAGGCGACGAUCCGUAGCUGGUCUGAGAGGACGACCAGCCACACUGGGACUGAAACACGGCCCAUACUCCUACGGGAGGCAGCAGUGGGGAAUUUUGGACAAUGGGCGCAAGCCUUAUCCAGCAAUGCCGCGUGCGGGAAGAAGGCCUUCGGGUUGUAAACCGCUUUUGGCAGGAACGAAACGGUGUCCGCUAAUACCGGGCGCUAAUGACGGUACCUGCAGAAUAAGCACCGGCUAACUACGUG
rnacentral:rRNA from 1 species